rnacentral:lncRNA from 10 species
UUGUGAUUAUCCUAAGUCACAGAUAAUCCAAACAUCAGAGAAUCCACAAAUCAAUUCUCUUUAGUUCUGGGGUGAGUAUCUGGAGCCUUUUUGGAUAAAGGCAUUCCUGGGGCCCUGGGAAUUCAACAGAAGCCUGAUGAGAGCGUCUCCACCUCAUAAAGGCUGAAAAUCUGUCUAUUCUUCUGAGUCACCCCAUCACAUCCUCCCGACCUCCUAUCUCAGGCCAGCUUGAGCAGAGGUACUUUGAUCUCUGAAUGGGUGGAGGGAUGAGUGUUAGGGGAGGGGUGAACAGAACAAAGGGCUAAGCCCAGCACUAGGACUAUUGACAGAUUUCAGCCCAGCCACGGAAUGGGUUGCUUCCAAGGUAAUCGGCUGCCCCUCACUGGGAGGAAGGGUGCAUGAGAUGACAUCUGCAUUUCCUGCUGGCCCUGAGGGUCCAGGGUUCAGGGCUUUCUAACCUGGUCCUGUGAUGAGCUCCCACCACCUUCCUGU